GUCCAUCUGACGAGUUCUUAAUAGAAGGAAACGCUCGUCCUGGAU
rfam:Schistosoma haematobium scaffold1248_10, whole genome shotgun sequence.